GAGGAGAAGACGACCCCUGGUCCUUUUAUGUGGACAAAUGGGGGAGGGACUGUAAAGAAUGCCUUAGGUGAUGGAGAGUGAAACCAUUCCCCCAUUCCCCAAGGCAGCAGGCGUGGCUGAAGACAGAUUUGAAUGGCAGGAUCAACUAGGAGAGAACAGUGUGCAGUCAUUAAUUAUGAGGCAUUCUCUUCAAGAAACUAUUUGCCAUUGUUUCUGUGGUGCUCAACUGUCGUGGAAUGGCAUGCACAGAAUUGUGGGAUACCAAAGGCAGUGAAGGAUUACAUCUGCGUUGCCUUAAAGAAUCAAUUAGAUGAAGGCAUUUUAAGAGACAGGAAGUAAAGCUAACUUUGGAUUUGGACGUGUCUUGAUGCCUUCCUACCAUGGAAUGCAUCCUUCAAAGCAGUAUUUUUCACCUUUUGGAUGCAGCUAUAUACACACAAGAGGUAACAAGCUUAACAAGACACACCUUGGGAGACUAAUCAAGGAGUAAAACUACAAACUGACUACAAACAUGGCACAAGAAACAUUUCAACAUAAAAGUCCAGAGACAAACACAGGGAACCUGUGGUGCAGUAGCAUAUAAAUAAAGUAAAGUAUAUAAUCAGAUAAUUUAGAUACUGUUGUAAAGCAGCUCUAAAGGACACUAGUGUCACUAUUGGGCUCCAGUCCAAUGUGUUGGUUCAGAUCAGAUAAAUAACAGUAUAAAGUUAAUCAGUUUCAAACGAGUUCUAUUCAGAUAUAAAUAGUCCUAAGCCAGCAAUGGUGUUAUUCAGCUUGAGUUUAAUGUUGAUUCAAUUCAGUUGGAUAACACUGUCAAUGCUGCAAGAUCUGAUUCAGCUCUAAAGCAGAUCUACAGAAGACAAUAGUGCUAUCAUCCAGCUUAGUUCAGUUCAAGUUUUGUUCUCAUCUAAUAGUGUCAGUGCAGUCAUAUCAAUCAGUUUGCUGAGUAUUAAGUGUCCUUAAGGCCCCAACUAAGCAAGCUAAAAGGGACAGUGGCAAGGAACCUCGUCUUGUGGCAGUCUUUGUUGAGGAUCUGUGCUGAGGCCUUGUUUGGUUGUUGUGGUCUUUGCUGACAUUUAUGGGCUGUGUUGUGGUCAUUUAAAAGCUUAAUUUAAUUACAAUUAUGUACAAUGUAACUUCUCACGUGUAAUGCAUCAGUAGGCUAAGCUAUGUAAGGCUAACUCUGAAAAAUGACAAAGAACUAAAAAUAUCAAAGUACCUCUUUUUUCUUCUUUGGUAGCUCUUACGAAAACACAUCACAUCCAGUCCAGAUUACACUGAGAGGAUACUCAUACAGGGAGCUGAGUCAUAUGGCAUUGAUGGUCAUAUCUACAGAUAAGGUAGAUUUGUAGGUUAGUAACUCAUUGCAUGAAAUAAAAAUGUCUGUAUUAAGUGAAGUGACGUGAUAUGUGGCCAAGUAUGGUUACCCAUACUCAGAAUUUAACCCAUCCUAAGUGCACACACACAGCAGUGAACACACAUACACCGUGAACACACAGUGUAUAUUUCUUACUUUAUACCCACUCUUUAGGGGUGGAUAAGGUAUUAAGUUUGAGUCUACUGUUCCUAUGACAAGCCGUAGUAGCCCUAAAGUUAAAGUUGUUUUGUUUUUGUUUUUUUGCAAAACAUUUUGUACAUUGAUACGAGUGGACUUUCUGUUAACACACAUUUAAUGUUUUAAAAAAAACAAAAACAAUUAUUAAUAGGCAGUGCAUUAAUGAAAAACGUGUAAAAAUCUGAAUAUGCACACUUUCUCACACCUUAUUGUUUGUUUUUGUUUUUUUUAUUUGUAACUGAUAAGCACACUACUGUUAGUGAUCUGUAAGUUUUUUAGUUUUUUUAUUUAUUUUGAGAAAGAAGACUUUAAAAUAUAAAUAUUAUGAAAUAUUAUUACAAUAUACAAUAACUGUUUUCCAAGUUAGUCAUUACUCAAGUCUUCAGUGUUACAUGAUCCUUUAGAAAUCAUUCUGAUAUGCUGAUUUGGCGCUCAAGAAAAUAUCUUAUUAUCAAUGUUGAAAACAUUGCUUAA